GUGACCUCGGAUCAGUAGGAU
rnacentral:rRNA from 1 species